rnacentral:rRNA from 1 species
GAUGAACGCUGGCGGCGUGCCUAAUACAUGCAAGUCGAGCGAACAGAUGAGGAUCUUGCUCCUCUGACGUUAGCGGCGGACGGGUGAGUAACACGUGGAUAACCUACCUAUAAGACUGGUAUAACUUCGGGAAACCGGAGCUAAUACCGGAUAAUAUAUUGAACCGCAUGGUUCAAUAGUGAAAGACGGUUUUGCUGUCACUUAUACAUGGAUCCUCGCCGCAUUAGCCAGUUGGUAAGGUAACGGCUUACCAAGGCAACGAGGCGUAGCCGACCUGAGAGGGUGAGAGGCCACACUGGCACUGAGAGACGGUCCAGACUCCUACGGGAGGAAGCAGUAGGGAAUCUUCCGCAAUGGGCGAAAGCCUGACGGAGCAACGCCGCGUGAGUGAUGAAGGUCUUCGGAUCGUAAAACUCUGUUAUUCGGGAAGAACAAAUGUGUAAGUAACUAUGCACGUCUUGACGGUACCUAAUCAGAAAGCCACGGCUAACUACGUG